rnacentral:rRNA from 1 species
AGUGAACGCUGGCGGUAGGCCUAACACAUGCAAGUCGAACGGCAGCACAGUAAGAGCUUGCUCUUACGGGUGGCGAGUGGCGGACGGGUGAGGAAUACAUCGGAAUCUACUUUUUCGUGGGGGAUAACGUAGGGAAACUUACGCUAAUACCGCAUACGACCUACGGGUGAAAGCAGGGGAUCUUCGGACCUUGCGCGAUUGAAUGAGCCGAUGUCGGAUUAGCUAGUUGGCGGGGUAAAGGCCCACCAAGGCGACGAUCCGUAGCUGGUCUGAGAGGAUGAUCAGCCCAAUUGGAACUGAGAACCGGGCCCGACUCCUACGGGAGGCAGCAGGGGGGAAUUUGGGAAAAGGGGCGAAAGCCUGAUCCAGCCAUACCGGGGGGGUGAAGAAGGCCUUUGGGUUGUAAAGCCCUUUUGUUGGGAAAGAAAAGAAGCAGGUUAAAACCCCGCUGUUCGGGAGGUACCCAAAGAAUAAGCACCGGCUAACUGCGU